AAGAUAAGAGUUCUGUUUGGUAGCCAAGGAUGAGUUGCCUGCUCCUUCCAAGAGGUUUCAAAUCUUGUUGGGUUGCCAGGCAUUCACCUUGGCUAACUUGACUGGCUCUUUUCUU
rnacentral:pre_miRNA from 1 species